UACGGAGGAUCCGAGCGUUAUCCGGAUUUAUUGGGUUUAAAGGGUUCGCAGGCGGGAGAUUAAGUCGGCGGUGAAAUUUUGCAGCUCAACUGUAAAAGUGCCUUCGAAACUGGUUUCCUUGAGUGUGGAUGAAGUAGGCGGAAUUUGUGGUGUAGCGGUGAAAUGCAUAGAUAUCACGAGGAACUCCGAUUGCGCAGGCAGCUUACUAAACCAUAACUGACGCUCAGGCACGAAGGCGUGGGGAUCAAACAGGAUUAGAUACCCCUGUAGUCCCU
rnacentral:rRNA from 1 species